rnacentral:rRNA from 1 species
UACGUAGGAGACGAGCGUUGUCCGGAGUUACUGGGCGUAAAGGGUGCGCAGGCGGCCCUGCGCGUCGCGAGUGAAAUCUCCCGGCUCAACUGGGAGGGUGGUCGCGAGACGGCAGGGCUUGAGGCUCGGUGAGGGGCGUGGAAUUCCGGGUGGAGCGGUGAAAUGCGUAGAUAUCAGGAGGAACACCUGUGGCGAAAGCGGCUCACUGGACCAUAACUGACGCUGAUGCACGAAAGCUAGGGGAGCAAACAGG